ACGCUGGCGGCAGGCUUAACACAUGCAAGUCGAACGGUAACAGGAAUUAGCUUGCUAAUUUGCUGACGAGUGGCGGACGGGUGAGUAAUGCUUGGGAAUCUGGCUUAUGGAGGGGGAUAACUACGGGAAACUGUAGCUAAUACCGCGUAAAAUCUUCGGAUUAAAGGGUGGGACUUUCGAGCCACCUGCCAUAAGAUGAGCCCAAGUGGGAUUAGGUAGUUGGUUAGGUAAAGGCUGACCAAGCCGACGAUCUCUAGCUGGUCUGAGAGGAUGACCAGCCACACUGGAACUGAGACACGGUCCAGACUCCUACGGGAGGCAGCAGUGGGGAAUAUUGCACAAUGGGGGGAACCCUGAUGCAGCCAUGCCGCGUGAAUGAAGAAGGCCUUCGGGUUGUAAAGUUCUUUCGGUGACGAGGAAGGUUGAUAGGUUAAUAGCCUAUCAAAUUGACGUUAAUCACAGAAGAAGCACCGGCUAACUCCGUGCCAGCAGCCGCGGUAAUACGGGGGGUGCGAGCGUUAAUCGGAAUAACUGGGCGUAAAGGGCACGCAGGCGGUGACUUAAGUGAGAUGUGAAAGCCCCGAGCUUAACUUGGGAAUUGCAUUUCAUACUGGGUCGCUAGAGUACUUUAGGGAGGGGUAGAAUUCCACGUGUAGCGGUGAAAUGCGUUGAGAUGUGGAGGAAUACCGAAGGCGAAGGCAGCCCCUUGGGAAUGUACUGACGCUCAUGUGCGAAAGCGUGGGGAGCAAACAGGAUUAGAUACCCUGGUAGUCCACGCUGUAAACGAUGUCGAUUUGGGGAUUGGGCUUUGAGCUUGGUGCCCGUAGCUAACGUGAUAAAUCGACCGCCUGGGGAGUACGGCCGCAAGGUUAAAACUCAAAUGAAUUGACGGGGGCCCGCACAAGCGGUGGAGCAUGU
rnacentral:rRNA from 1 species